rnacentral:lncRNA from 1 species
GGGAGCGGGGAGGGAGGGAGCAGGGAGGGAGGGAGGCAGGGGAGGAAGGACGGGGAGAGUGCGUGUGUGCGAGAGGGGGGAGAGGCAGGGGAAAACUGCGGAGAGCGAGAAGAAAAGUGCGAUAGGAGCCCGGCCCCGGGGAGAAGUACGGUUGAAGAGCCGCUGGAGCGAGCCCGAGCUCCCGGGGGAGAAGGAAGGUUGGCCCGUGGAGAGGCAGCCAGCAGCAAAGCAGCCGGUCCUUCUCCGCGGCUUUUUCACGUCCGAAGAGUUUGCGGCGGGGUUUCCCGGCUCCCUGGGGAGGCUCCGCGGGAUGAAGCGGGCAGCGGAGAGCCGCGCCUUGGCGGGAGGCUUAGCGCAAGCGGACACGCUCAGGGAGCCGCGGUGACAUCCAGAAGUCCUUUGAAUUUCACAUGUUUUUCCAAUCGCUCAAUCCAAAAUAUAUGGUGUCCUCCUUUCCCACCCCCCACCUCUUUCCUAGGAAUGUGCGUAAUAAAACCUAAUCGCCUGGGACUCUCCUACUUUCUGCAUCUGCUGGACACGAAGUCCACCCGGCUCUGAAGCUGAGCUGCUAUGGGACGCCCGGCGGCCUCGGUCACGUCUGCAAGUGGGAAACCCCGAAUGAGCCUUUGCGCUACAUUAACUGUCCCGCUGCCGUCCGGGGCUCCCUCGGACGCAGCAGCCCUCUUCGCCUCCUGCAGCCAUCUCCGAAGCGGAGAUCGGGACGCUCACCCCAGGAGCGCAACUCCGGACCAAGACAAAGUGUGCGUGCCGGGGGUGGGGGCUGGGGUAGGUUAAACUUCUCAAUAUCUAUCUAUCUAUCUAUAUAUUCUAU